rnacentral:rRNA from 1 species
UACGAAGGGGGCUAGCGUUGUUCGGAAUUACUGGGCGUAAAGCGCACGUAGGCGGAUACUUAAGUCAGGGGUGAAAUCCCGGGGCUCAACCCCGGAACUGCCUUUGAUACUGGGUAUCUCGAGUCCGGAAGAGGUGAGUGGAAUUCCGAGUGCAGAGGUGAAAUUCGUAGAUAUUCGGAGGAACACCAGUGGCGAAGGCGGCUCACUGGUCCGGUACUGACGCUGAGGUGCGAAAGCGUGGGGAGCAAACAGG